UUCUCUUUAGCAAAAGAGAAACCAUGAUUAAGACUAUCUCUUGAAUAUCCAAAAACUUUCAUGAAUGAACAUGUAUAUAGUAUACAUGAAGUUAAAAGAAACAUAUAAAAAAUCAAUUUCAAGUCCAUCUUUGAUAUCAAGAUACAAAACACGUAAGUUGUACUGUUAAUGCAUGUUGGGGGGAAAUAUUAACGACCCUUAAAGCCCAUUAAAAAAACGAUCAUGAAGGCCCAGGCCCACCUGAGGAAAUAAAGAUUGCCGUCAGCCCAACAUGGGAGGGGAGAGCCCCGCUCCGCCUCGUCCGACCCAGUACCCCGGGGUCGGACGCUCCCGACCCCUUGAUGACCAAACUCCGCCUUGCCCGACCCAGGGGCCUAGGGUCGGGAGCACCUGACUCCCCACCGCACGACUCCGCCUCGCCCGACCCAGGGGCCUAGGGUCGGGAGCACCCAACCCCCCGCCGCAAGACUCCGCCUCGCCCGACCCAGGGCGCAGGGGGUCGGACUCAUCCGGGCCCGCAAGACAAAUAUCCGCCUCGGGUGCAGACUGGAAGAUCAGGGCGUAGAUCUCGUGGGUCCCCCUAUCGACCUCGCCAUAAAUGUGCCGCGGCUCUGGCGCGCAGAAAGGCGCCCGCGCCCCCGACGCGACCCGCCACAAGUACCCAUGCGCGACCGUGUGAUGCAGGCUACAGUGGCCGCGGCUCCCUCCGAUUCGCUACAGGGCACUCAUGGCCUGCGCAGCCCGGCACAGGAGGAUGUCCCGCCCGUUCUCGCACCCCGCGCAUCCGGCGAUAGGGACGCGACGUCCACGUCCCACGGGCCAUCAGCAGGAUGGCAGGAUCAGCCGCCCUCCCCGACGGACACAGGUGCCACGACAGAACACCAUCAUCAAGCCUGGCGGCAACAGCCACAAUGGAAACCGUCGACAGGACUCGACGGCAGCCGCCCUCUUUCGGCGGACGCGCUGGCAGGAGCCGAAAGCCGGAGAGGAUGCCGACGGUCUAGGAACUUGGUCCCUCUCCUUAUCUUGUUUUUUACUUAACUUAGUUUAUCUCUUUUACUUCUCCUCACACCCGGUCUCACUUGUAACCCCGGUGGCCUCCUUGUGCUAUAAAAGGAGAACCGGGGGCCCCGAGACAGGGGAGGCAGGGGGAAGCCAUCAGAACUCUCACACUUUACUUUAAAGCAUCAGUGCACACCCGAGAGACUUGGGACCAGCUCCCUCUCUCGCCCUUCUGUAACCCCUACUACAGACCCCGCGUGGGCAACACGAGCAGCUCCCGAUACUGGACGUAGGGCUCUUCCUUGCCCGAACUAGUCUAAACCCCAUGUCUCCCACGCCACCAUCCGAAGCCUUACGCGCAUAAAAUAAAUUUACUAGUUUUAGUCUUGAUCCGCUAAUCUUGACAACGACAGUUGGUGCGCCAGGUAGGGGACCUUUGCGCGUACAUCACCGGCUUCAGAUGGCCAACCACGACGCCGGCUCCAAUGACGGGAGUCACCACCCCUCGCAAGAGUGCUUCAUGGCCGACGUGCACUCCGAGGGAUCCAACGACGACGGCGCGAAGGGAAGCAGUGCGCUUCCCUACCACGCGCCGCAGCUACGACUAAGGCCCUUGCCAGGGUCCCGGUGCGGCCACGACAGCCGGAGGCGCGCGCGGCGCCCCACCAGGAGGACGAGCACCGCCGCAACGAGGGUGGGGCGCGUCAUCGGGCCCGCGACGUCCAGCGGCGCAUCUGCGGGGAUGAGGAUCAUCCCCAACUCUUCGCACGCGCCAGCCAGAACGUCGCCACUGCGGCAGCCCUACUCCGACGACUCCCCGAUCCAGCAACGCCCGAGGAGUGACAGGCCCGCCAGGAGGUACGCGACUUGCUUGAGUGUGUAGCAGUCCAGCAAGCAGAAAGCUCCGCGUCCCGGCGUCGCACACACGGCGCCAGCAGGGUCACACCCUCCGCGCCUAUCGAGAGGCGUGGAGGAUCUAUCCAUCAACCUUCCUCCCACGGGGGAAACCGGGCCUCACCCAUUCAACGGACUCCACCACGCGCGGGCGACAUGGCUUCAUCUGUCCACCACCGUGUCGGCCCCAUCCGCGACGCCCGUGACGCCUUGGACGCGUGGAGGCUCUCCCGUGCGGACGGGGAGGAUAGAGCCGACCGUGGCUACCGCGUACACCGUGGUGGUCGCCACGACGGUGGAGAAAAUCGGAGCCCAAGCCCCAACCCAGCGGGGCCCAGGGCCUUCUCCGCACGCAUCCUGAACACGCCGUUCCCAGCGCGCUUCAGACAGCCCACCAAUGUGGCCAAAUACUCCAGGGAGAUGAACCCCGGACCUUGGCUCAGCGACUACCGACUUGCCUGUCAGGCCGGCGGAGCGGAUGACAACUUGUUCAUCAUUCGCAACCUCCCACUUUUCCUGGCCGACUCGCGCGAGCCUGGCUAGAACACGUUCCGUCAGGUCGGAUCCGUAACUGGAACGACAUGAAAGAAAUCUUUGUAGGCAACUUCCGGGGCACAUACAUGCACCCCGGUAACUCCUGGGACCUCCAGAGCUGCGGCCAGGGGUCGGGUGAGACUCUCCGGGAGUACAUCCGGCGCUUCUCCAGGAAACGCACCGAGCUCUCCAGCGUCGUCGAUGCCGACAUCAUCGGGGCCUUCCUGGCGGGGACCUCCUGUAGGUCUCUAGUUCACGAACUGGGACGUGUAGGCCCACGAACCACUAAGGAGCUCCUCGACAUCGCCGCCGACUUUGCCUCGGGCGAGGAGGCCAUCGGGGCGAUAUUCGAUCGCUCCAAAGGCAAAGCAAAGAGGGAGGAGGAUGCCGACGAAGGCGCCUCCAAUCGUCAGAAGAAGAAAAAGGCUGCGGCGGAACCUCGAAGGCUGCGGAGGGGCUUAAGCACGACAACGGACGAAGACGAUGAUGAUGAUAAUGAGGAUGAUGAUGAAGAAAGCUCUUUCGCUCUAUAAAGAACGCGCGGCAGACGAAAUACGAACCAACCGCAUCUAUUGCGACGUCAGGUACAUCCCGUCACCUCCGCCUUUUUCCGGAAACUGUACGCACGAUCUCUUUUUUAUCGCAGGAAACACCGCACCUCCUUACCCCACGAGCUCGGUGUUUUCUACCGCUUCAACUCCUGGAGAUCAUACGCACAACUUUCUCUGCAAUCGGACCACGGUCCGCUUCAGGUAAAAAAAGGAUACAGAGCUGAAAACGCUCUUACGGCCCAUUACGGUCCAGGGGUUCGAAGGCUGGCCCUCUAGAGGGUUUGACAGCCGUCCCAGGACAUCUCCCGAGCAAGGGGUGAGAAGGGACGGGUCCGCUAGCGGCCACCACCCAGGCGAGCAAAAGCCAAGGGCGUCCCGACCUCACGUUCGAGUCCGGACUGGCGUCUAAGUUCAUGGUUUUUCCCUGAAGAAAGGCAACGAGCCCCCGAAUCCGAUCGAAGGGACUCGGUAACUGUAUGAACUGGCCAGCCGGAAUCUGGAGUACGCCACCAGCUUGGCCCGAGCCGGACCCGCCCGAACGGGGACCGGGACUCCACUCGAACCGACCCAUUCCCAGCUCAACGAGCACCACGGUUCGUCCAACGAGGAUAGCGUGGCACGGCUCGCCUCCUCCGUCCCAGCGAACGGACGCUUGAGGGGUAACAUACAAAAGUCGACCUAGCCUCCCGACCGGUCCCCUGCAACGCGCGGGAGCUCGGAGGCUAGCCUCACAACCAAUGACCACGCGGAUGGUCAUGCCUUGAGGCUCUCAGACAGAAGGGAACAACAAGGAAUCCUCCCGCGCCGAGUCGCCCACAGGACGUUUCACCUGAUCAACCUCCUCGGCCAAGCCGCACAAACAACACUUCCCGUCCCUGAUUAACUGCAGCUUGCACGAUGAGAAGGGAUCCCCUAGGAACGGCGAUAGCAGCCUCUGGAGGAGCAUCCCCGCUCCACCACAGGCUCAGGGGCUACUGUUGGGGGAAAAUAUUAACGACCCCUUAAAGCCCAUUAAAACAACGAUCAUGAAGGCCCAGGCCCACCUGAGGAAAUAAAGAUUGCCGUCGGCCCAACAUGAGAGGAGAGAGCCCCGCUCCGCCUCGUCCGACCCAGUGCCCCAGGGUCGGACGCUCCCGACCCCUUGAUGACCAAACCCCGUCUCGCCCGACCCAGGGGCCUAGGGUCGGGAGCACCCGACCCCCCGCCGCAAGACUCCGCCUCGCCCGACCUAGGGCGCAGGGGGUCGGACUCAUCCGGGCCUGCAAGACAAAUAUCCACCUCGGGUGCAGACUGGAAGAUCAGGGCGCGGAUCUCGUGGGUCCCCCUAUCGACCUCGCCAUAAAUGUGCCGCGGCUCUGGCGCGCAGAAAGGCGCCCGCGCCCCCGACGCGACCCGCCACAAGUACCUAUGCACGACCGUGCGGUGCAGGCUACAGUGGCCGCGGCUCCCUCCGAUUCGCUACAGGGCACUCAUGGCCUGCGCCGCCCGGCACAGGAGGAAGUCCCGCCCGUUCUCGCGCCCUCCCACGGGCCAUCAGCAGGAUGGCAGGAUCAGCCGCCCUCCCCGACGGACACAGGUGCCACGACGGAACACCAUCAUCACGCCUAGCGGCAACAGCCACCAUGGAAACCGUCGACAGGAUUCGACGGCAGCCGCCCUCUUUCGGCGGACGCGCUAGCAGGAGCCGAAAGCCGGAGAGGAUGCCGGCGGUGUAGGAACUUGGUCCCUCUCCUUAUGUUGUUUUUUACUUAACUUAGUUUAUCUCUUUUACUUCUCCUCACACCCGGUCUCACUUGUAACCCUGGUGGCCUCCUUGCGCUAUAAAAGGAGAACCGGGGGCCCCGAGAUAGGGGAGGCAGUGGGAAGCCAUCAGAACUCUCACACUUUUUACUUUAGAGCAUUAGUGCACACCCGAUAGACUUGGUACCAGCUCCCUCUCUCGCCCUCCUGUAACCC
rnacentral:lncRNA from 1 species